rnacentral:lncRNA from 1 species
GGGGUUCCAGCUUUAGUGAAAUUGGCAGAACAAGCAUUAUUUGAUUAGUGUGAAAGAGCCUGCAGUGAAAGUGCCAGGCAGGGAAGAAGUGAUGGCUUCUGAUAGGCCGCCUGUAGAAAGAUCAAGCCGAGGUCAUUUGGGGUCUUUUAAAGAAAACGAUGAUUUUUUCAUAAAUCUAAAAGAUGCCCACACAGCAAUGUAAUUUUCUUAAGUAAUGCUUAAUAUUGAUUCAGGAAAACACCAGAGAACUCAACCGCAGUCGACAGCAUAUAAUUCGAGCAGAUAACACCAUCACGCACUCACCCUGCUCUCAAGUACUUUGGGGUUUCUUUGCGUAAAGCUGCCAUCUGAUGCAAUAGGUGAGAAGGCUCAGGAGAACUGUUUGGCCCUUCGUUUCGUAUUUCGUUAAAAUCUUUAGCCCUGAUAAAGGAUUUAACUGCUUGGGGCAGUGAGGUAAGGGGAUGAAGAAAAAGAAGCAGGUCUGAAAGAGACCAAGACCUGGAACGUCUACCCCAGAGAAUACUUCAAUGCAUCUCUCUCUGUGUCCACCCACCUGGGCAAGGUACGGGGACGAUGGCCACGACACCUGGAGUCCCCCAGCUCUCCAGGACUCAGCAAGGAGCAGGUGAGGGUGCAGGCUGUCUUGCUUGGGUUAGAUCCACACCCCCAGCCUACCUCACAAUGAAGCCUCACCAGAAGAAUUUGGUGUGUGCUUCAAAGUGUCCUUAGCUCUGCCAGGUGGAGUCAGCCCUAAUCUCCAUCUUGACUUGCGGAAUUUAGGAUGCAAGGAGAUGCACUGUUCCCUUGGUGUUCUGAUUCAAACGCUUUCCCCAAGAAUUGGUUGCGUGUCUUCCAUUGGUGACCGUGCAUCUGGAGACCAUGAAGAAAGCACAACAUUAUUAACUUAAAAGAUGGAGAUCAUGGCCAAGCAUGAAUACCACUAUCCUGUAGCUUUGUUGCCCCCAGGAUGGUUAGUUUGAUGUGUCUCUUUGGCUAGGCUACUGUACUGUUAUUCAACCAAACACUGAUGUAGGUGUUGCCGUGGAGGUAUUCUGUAGAUGCGAUGGUAGUGGAUUGGAUAGUGUCUCCCCCAAAUUCAUGCCCACCCAGAACCUCAGCACAUGAGCUUAUUCAGAAAUAGGGUUUUUGCAGAUGUAAUUAAGGUCAAGGUCAAAGUCAAGAUAAAACACUGGAUUAGGGUGGGCCUUAAAUCCAAUGAGACUGUCUUUAUGAUGGAAGAAGAUGCAGAGAUGCAGAGGGGAAGGCCAGGUGAAGAGAGAGGCGGAGAUUGGAGCAAUGCAGCCACAAGCCAAGGAAUGCCUGGAGCCAACAGCAGGAAGAGGACAGGAAAGAUUCUCUCCAAGAGCUCCCUGCUGGCACCUUGAUUUCAGACUACUGGUCUCUUGAACAGCGAGGGAAUAAAUUUCUGUUCUUUUUAAGCCUCCAGUUUUGUAAUGUGCUAAGACAGCCUUAGAAAUGAGUAUAACACCCCACAGCCAGCUCCAGGCUUAGUCCGGGUCCUGGGGGCUGCAGGUGGUUAACAGAGUUCUGGAUUCAGAGACAGAGGUUUUGGUUUACAUCCCAGUGACAGCUCUCAGAGCUGCAUGGACUUGACCAUAUUUCUUCAUUUCACUGAGCCUUAGGGGAGGACUAAUAUUCAUUCACCACUGUUUUGAGAUGUAUAGUAGAUAAUGCCCGUAGGGAGAGCCUGUAAAUGGUCAUGGAAUGAAAAGGUUCUGCUAUGAUGUACAUAUACACCCACACACAACGUUCCCUAAAUUACCUGUGAAACUCUCCCCAUGCUGGAAAACGACUCUGGAGGUUUUAUUUUAUAAUGUAUUUUUGGUUGCUCAAGGAUUGAUUUUUUAGUUCUAGGAUUUCAAAAAAAAAUCAGUUUGCUGCUAGUUUGGCUUUUUGCCCUUUCCCAAUUCCUCAUCUUUCUAGCAUGUCAAGAGACAAAAAUAAAUAAAUAAAUAAAAACAAAAACAAAAAAGGGUGACAAUUGCGGAUCUUUCCUUUAUCCUGGCUGCAGCUGGGAAACACUUGGUGGGGUUGGGGGCAGAUCGAAAAAUUGUUUACUUUUUUAUGCAAACUCUGACUCUACCUUUUAAAUGAUCACUGAUUUUGUUUUCUAAGAUGGGGCUUUAAGAAUCUUCAUUUAGGCUGGGCGCGGUGGCUCACGCAUGUAAUCCCAGCAGUUUGGGAGGCGGAGAUGGGCGG